GAUGAACGCUGGCGGCGUGCUUAACACAUGCAAGUCGAACGGAAAGGCCCAAGCUUGCUUGGGUACUCGAGUGGCGAACGGGUGAGUAACACGUGGGUGAUCUGCCCUGCACUUCGGGAUAAGCCUGGGAAACUGGGUCUAAUACUGGAUAGGACCACUUCUUGGAUGGUGUGGUGGAAAGUUUUUUCGGUGUGGGAUGAGCUCGCGGCCUAUCAGCUUGUUGGUGGGGUAAUGGCCUACCAAGGCGUCGACGGGUAGCCGGCCUGAGAGGGUGUACGGCCACAUUGGGACUGAGAUACGGCCCAGACUCCUACGGGGGGCAGCAGUGGGGAAUAUUGCACAAUAGGCGCAAGCCUGAUGCGGCGACGCCGCGUGGGGGAUGACGGCCUUCGGGUUGUAAACUCCUUUCGCUAGGGACGAAGCGUUUUUGUGACGGUACCUGGAGAAGAAGCACCGGCUAACUACGUG
rnacentral:rRNA from 1 species